rnacentral:lncRNA from 1 species
UCAAACAUGCUAUAUCUCUUAUGUUAUGUUAAUCCCUCUCCCUCUAUCCCCUUUGUGUGAGUUUUGUCCUGGGUCAUAGCAGCACUAUGGAUUGCUGUCUUUGAUCCAGAACUAGACUUUUUGAGUCUUUACUCAAUUGCUUUCCCAUUCCCUUUCCCCUCAAUGUGUUGAGCCCUAAUUUGGGUGUGUUGGUGUCCUGAUUACCAUUCAGACCUGAGUUUGACUCUAUAAGAGUUUGCUCUUAUUUGUUUGAAUCUGAGCAAGAGGUUAGGGAUGUGCCAGUCUAUGCCAUGAUUGGGUAUGACUACCCCCUGAUAAGGUUCCUCUCUCACUUUACACCUACUCGCUCUUAUGUUCUACCCCCCUCUGGUAAGCCAUGCUUAGGGACCCUAGAGCUUCCUCUGAACUUGGAUGCCUAAGGGCUAGUAAUUCCACACAUUGCACUACUCUGCUACAACAUUCACUCUUUAGGGUGUAAGCAUUGCCUGGGAUCUUGAAGCUCCUUGGAACUUUGAAACACUCUAAGAGAAGGCCUUGGAAUCUGGAACCCAGAUUUGGUA